UAUCCUACGGGAGGCAGCAGUGGGGAAUAUUGCACAAUGGGGGAAACCCUGAUGCAGCAACGCCGCGUGAAGGAAGACGGUUUUCGGAUUGUAAACUUCUGUUCUUAGUGAAGAAGAAUGACGGUAGCUAAGGAGCAAGCCACGGCUAACUACGUGCCAGCAGCCGCGGUAAUACGUAGGUGGCAAGCGUUGUCCGGAAUUACUGGGUGUAAAGGGAGUGCAGGGGGGAAGCAAAGUUAGCUGUGAAAACUAGGGGCUUAACUUGUCGAGUGCAGUUGAAACUGGUUUUAUUGAGUGAGGUAGAG
rnacentral:rRNA from 1 species